AGAAGGGGAGAAAAGGACUCAGCGAGACAUGAUGUGUACCAGCACUCCAUCCCAAAAGCUCCUCCAUCCCAAAAGCUCCUCCAUCCCAAAAGCUCCUCCAUCCCAAAAGCUCCUCCAUCCCAAAAGCUCCUCCCAGGAAAGGAACACUCAGCUUUGACUCAGCAGCACUCAGAGCGAAAGCCAUCCCCGUCCCUCCCGCUGUGAGUUCUACCAAAACUUCUGCCCUGAAGCUCUUGGCUCUCCUUGUGCCUCAGUUUCUCCUUGUGUGAUGUCCAGUGAUGCCACCACCCACCCCCUGCCCCUCCUCAGGACCCACGGCACAAAACAAGGCACGGGGCACUGGCAGCACGAUGGUGAUGGAGAACAUCAGUGAGGAGGUGCGGGCGGAGCUGCAGCUCUCUGCUUGCUGCAACCACACCAACAUCCCUGGAGGUGGGCGUAGGGAUUUGGGGGGGCUUUGAGGCUGCGUGAACGACUGCAGGCAGAGAUGUAGCAAAGAGAACACGAAACGUUUAGUAAUUUAAUGUAAUUUCAUAUAAUUGAAGAUAAUAUAACAUAAAAUACCGUAACAUAAUGAAAUCUAAUAGAGUCCCACAUUGUCCCAGUUCAAGGUGGUGGUGGUGGACAGCCAGGGUUGGAGGGGUAGGGCUGGGCCGGUGCUGGUGCCCCUGGAGCACUGCUGCUGCUCUGUGUGCCGCAGGGCCGGCGAGGAGCCCAGGGCUACAGGGAGCCUUAUUUGUUGGCCGUGGCCGUGCCUCCUGCUGCAGCAGGUGGGCCGGUUUCUGCAGAGGCUCCCGUUUGUGCUGAGCCC